GACUGAAACCAGAGAGACAGAUGGCUUUCAGGCAGACAAUGAGGAAGAUGAGGAGGAAGAGGACUGUAUGAUUGUGGAGGAAUCGCAGAGCAAAGAUGCAGAUACAUCGAAAACUGUGUGUGACAUGGAGGUUACUACAAAUGAUUCUGCUGCUACAAACAAAACUUGAAACUGUAAACUAAGCAUUGUAUGUAUGUGUAGAGUUUUUUUAGGAUAUUUUUUUUAAACUCCUGGUGUAUGUGUGAUGCCUGAGUUUAGUAUCCCUAUGUAAAGAGGACAGCACUUUCACACUCGGGAUUAAAAAAAAAAAAAUUGCUCCUUUUUUUCAGACUAAAAGAAAAUUCCAAAGGGUCUGUUAAUAAUAAAGCAUUAUUCAAAUUAA